GAAUGGAUCAGAGUAGAAGUAGAGGGACCGAGCUGCCUUGUAAGUUGAGAGAGGGUACAAGGCAGUUCUGUCUCUCUACUUCUACUCUGAUAGUUCUGA
rnacentral:miRNA from 1 species